GUUCUCACUGGAUUAGGAUAUCUAUCAGCUAUUAAGUAAUUGAAGCAUCCUGCACAAUGUACUGCAAAAAGAGUAACCUGCAGAAUUUACUCAAAAGUACCGAGUAUAACAUAGUUAAGAUGGAGGUGCUGACCUAGCUGCAAUCCUUUUUGGAUUAUCCACUAGAAGAUACGAUUUCUGAUCCAGAUAUGCUAUAAAAAAAGUGAGAAUGAUAUCUAUUGCGAAGAUGCUAUCGACAAUGUUCUCAACAAGAAAAAGUUCCCACGAGAGAUAUCUCAGAAAUGCUAGUUCAAAUGGGCAGAUCCAUGCUGAGUAAACAACAAGAACAAGCAACAACGUCUCCCAGAUUCUGAUGAGGUGUGCUGGUUACAGAAAAUUUAGACAAGGCUGUGUCAAUGAAGCUGUGUGUGACAACUAAUAAUAAAAAAGGAGGUUCCUUUCUUGGAGAGUGAAGAAAUUGUUCAGAUUAGAUGACUUUGGUCUGGGCGUUCGGCCUUCCUCACAAGUCACAACCCACUAACUGCCUUCCAGAUGCUGAUCUUUUGUCACAGGCUGCCUGUGGGUGUGCACCUUUGCUAGAAGCCUGGCUCAAGACUUGGCUGACAUUUGUUGUACCUUUUACUUCAUCACAUGUAGCUAACUCGUGAUCCUGGAUUCUAGAGAUGAGCACCUGGAAAUGAAAAUGUUGAUUGGUGAAGAA